GGGGGGAGGGGGAGAGAGGGUGGAGAGGAAGGCACCUCACUGAGCACAUGGGGAGUGGGAGCGCAGCAUCCCACCAUACCUACCUUAUGAGUGUUCAAAGGAAGACAACUGGGGCCUUGCUGCAAACCGAUUUUAAGUCUACUCCUUCAAACCGCUGGCAGCCCAUGGACCCAAGAAGCUGUCCUUGUAAGGCUCCCUGGCACCCACCUGGGGGGACAUGUGCCUGUCUAAACGGGCCCUGGCGCUUGUUAAGGAGGGAAAAGGGGAGUGAAGAGAGGAACAAAUCCAGAUGCAUAUGCUUCUGUACACGCCUGGAUAACCCGAAAUGCUUUGUUAUGCUCAAAACAAUAAAUAAGGUUCCGAGUGAAGCCUUCAGAAUAAAAGGUAUGGAUAAAUGA
rnacentral:lncRNA from 1 species